rnacentral:rRNA from 1 species
UGGGGAAUUUUGGACAAUGGGCGAAAGCCUGAUCCAGCAAUGCCACGUGAGUGAAGAAGGCCUUCGGGUUGUAAAGCUCUUUUGUCAGGGAAGAAACGGUGAGAGCUAAUAUCUCUUGCUAAUGACGGUACCUGAAGAAUAAGCACCGGCUAACUACGUGCCAGCAGCCGCGGUAAUACGUAGGGUGCAAGCGUUAAUCGGAAUUACUGUGCGUAAGGCGUGCGCAGGCGGUUUUGUAAGUCUGAUGUGAAAUCCCCGGGCUCAACCUGGGAAUUGCAU